AGGCCUGGAGAGAGAAGCAGGGUCUGAUUUGUAGCCUCCUGUGGCAGCUGUUGAUCAGCCCUUGCCUCUCUCUUUCUCUCUG
rfam:Myotis lucifugus cont2.1013, whole genome shotgun sequence.